rnacentral:rRNA from 1 species
GUUGGAACGACUGCUAAUACCCAAUGUGCCGAAGGGUGAAAGUUAUUUCGCCUGGAGAGGAGCUCGCGUCCGAUUAGCUAGUUGGUGGGGUAAAAGCCUACCAAGGCGUCGAUCGGUAGCUGGUCUGAGAGGAUGAGCAGCCACACUGGGACUGAGACACGGCCCANACUCCUACGGGAGGCAGCAGUGGGGAAUUUUCCGCAAUGGGCGAAAGCCUGACGGAGCAAUACCGCGUGAGGGAGGAAGGCUUUUGGGUUGUAAACCUCUUUUCUUAGGGAAGAAGAACUGACGGUACCUAAGGAAUCAGCAUCGGCUAACUCCGUGCCAGCAGCCGCGGUAAUACGGAGGAUGCAAGCGUUAUCCGGAAUUAUUGGGCGUAAAGCGUCCGCAGGUGGCUCAUCAAGUCUGCUGUCAAAGACCAGAGCUCAACUCUGGGCAGGCAGUGGAAACUGGAGAGCUAGAGUACGGUAGGGGUAGAGGGAAUUCCCAGUGUANCGGUGAAAUGCGUANAGAUUGNGAANAACACCNNUGGCGAANGCGCUCUACUGNACCGNNACUGNNNCUCNNGGACGANNGCUACGGGAGCGAAANGNAUUANAUANCCCUG